rnacentral:rRNA from 1 species
UUAAGUUAGAAAGGGCGCACGGUGGAUGCCUUGGCACUAGGAGCCGAUGAAGGACGGGACGAACACCGAUAUGCUUCGGGGAGCUGUAAGCAAGCUUUGAUCCGGAGAUUUCCGAAUGGGGAAACCCACUGCUCGUAAUGGAGCAGUAUCCAUAUCUGAAUUCAUAGGAUAUGAGAAGGCAGACCCGGGGAACUGAAACAUCUAAGUACCCGGAGGAAGAGAAAGCAAAUGCGAUUCCCUGAGUAGCGGCGAGCGAAACGGGAACAGCCCAAACCAAGAGGCUUGCCUCUUGGGGUUGUAGGACACUCUGUACGGAGUUACAAAAGAACGAGGUAGAUGAAGAGGUCUGGAAAGGCCCGCCAUAGGAGGUAACAGCCCUGUAGUCAAAACUUCGUUCUCUCCUGAGUGGAUCCUGAGUACGGCGGAACACGUGAAAUUCCGUCGGAAUCCGGGAGGACCAUCUCCCAAGGCUAAAUACUCCCUAGUGACCGAUAGUGAACCAGUACCGUGAGGGAAAGGUGAAAAGCACCCCGGAAGGGGAGUGAAAGAGAUCCUGAAACCGUGUGCCUACAAGUAGUCAGAGCCCGUUAACGGGUGAUGGCGUGCCUUUUGUAGAAUGAACCGGCGAGUUACGAUCCCGUGCAAGGUUAAGUUUGAAAAGACGGAGCCGCAGCGAAAGCGAGUCUGAAUAGGGCGCAUGAGUACGUGGUCGUAGACCCGAAACCAGGUGAUCUACCCAUGUCCAGGGUGAAGUUCAGGUAACACUGAAUGGAGGCCCGAACCCACGCACGUUGAAAAGUGCGGGGAUGAGGUGUGGGUAGGGGUGAAAUGCCAAUCGAACCUGGAGAUAGCUGGUUCUCUCCGAAAUAGCUUUAGGGCUAGCCUCAAGGUAAGAGUCUUGGAGGUAGAGCACUGAUUGGACUAGGGGCCCCUACCGGGUUACCGAAUUCAGUCAAACUCCGAAUGCCAAAGACUUAUCCUUGGGAGUCAGACUGCGAGUGAUAAGAUCCGUAGUCGAAAGGGAAACAGCCCAGACCGCCAGCUAAGGUCCCAAAGUAUACGUUAAGUGGAAAAGGAUGUGGAGUUGCUUAGACAACCAGGAUGUUGGCUUAGAAGCAGCCACCAUUUAAAGAGUGCGUAAUAGCUCACUGGUCGAGUGACUCUGCGCCGAAAAUGUACCGGGGCUAAACGUAUCACCGAAGCUGCGGACUGUUCUUGCGAACAGUGGUAGGAGAGCGUUCUAAGGGCUGUGAAGCGAGACCGGAAGGACUCGUGGAGCGCUUAGAAGUGAGAAUGCCGGUAUGAGUAGCGAAAGAGGGGUGAGAAUCCCCUCCACCGAAUGCCUAAGGUUUCCUGAGGAAGGCUCGUCCGCUCAGGGUUAGUCGGGACCUAAGCCGAGGCCGAAAGGCGUAGGCGAUGGACAACAGGUUGAUAUUCCUGUACCACCUCCUCACCAUUUGAGCAAUGGGGGGACGCAGGAGGAUAGGGUAAGCGCGGUAUUGGAUAUCCGCGUCCAAGCAGUUAGGCUGGGAAAUAGGCAAAUCCGUUUCCCGUAAGGCUGAGCUGUGAUGGCGAGCGAAAUAUAGUAGCGAAGUUCCUGACUCCACACUGCCAAGAAAAGCCUCUAGCGAGGUGAGAGGUGCCCGUACCGCAAACCGACACAGGUAGGCGAGGAGAGAAUCCUAAGGUGAUCGAGAGAACUCUCGUUAAGGAACUCGGCAAAAUGACCCCGUAACUUCGGGAGAAGGGGUGCUCUGUUAGGGUGCAAGCCCGAGAGAGCCGCAGUGAAUAGGCC